GGGGGGGGCAAGGCGUUGUUCGGAAUUACUGGGCGUAAAGGGCUCGUAGGCGGCCAACUAAGUCGGACGUGAAAUCCCUCGGCUCAACCGAGGAACUGCGUCCGAUACUGGAUGGGCUUGAGUCCGGGGAGAGGGAUGCGGAAUUCCAGGUGUAGCGGUGAAAUGCGUAGAUAUCUGGAGGAACACCGGUGGCGAAGGCGGCAUCCUGGACCGGCACUGACGCUGAGGAGCGAAAGCCAGGGGAGCAACGGGAUUAGAUACCCGGUAGUCCUGGCCCUAAACGAUGAAUGCUUGGUGUGGCGGGUAUCGAUCCCUGCCGUGCCGAAGCUAACGCGAUAAGCAUUCCGCCUGGGGAGUACGGUCGCAAGGCUG
rnacentral:rRNA from 1 species